rnacentral:rRNA from 1 species
AUACGUAGGGGGCGAGCGUUGUCCGGAAUGAUUGGGCGUAAAGGGCGCGUAGGCGGCCCGGUAAGUCUGGAGUGAAAGUCCUGUUUUUAAGAUGGGAAUUGCUUUGGAUACUGUCGGGCUUGAGUGCAGGAGAGGUAAGUGGAAUUCCCAGUGUAGCGGUGAAAUGCGUAGAGAUUGGGAGGAACACCAGUGGCGAAGGCGACUUACUGGACUGUAACUGACGCUGAGGCGCGAAAGUGUGGGGAGCAAACAGGAUUAGAUACCCUGGUAGUCCACGCUGUAAACGAUGAUUACUAGGUGUUGGGGACCAAAGGUCCUCGGUGCCGCCGCAAACGCAUUAAGUAAUCCACCUGGGGAGUACGUUCGCAAGAAUGAAACUCAAAUGAAUUGACGGGG